GACGAACGCUGGCGGCGUGCUUAACACAUGCAAGUCGAGCGGAAAGGCCCUUCGGGGUACUCGAGCGGCGAACGGGUGAGUAACACGUGAGUAACCUGCCCUUGGCUCUGGGAUAGCUCCGGGAAACCGGAAUUAAUACCGGAUAUGACCUCGGCCGACAUCGGCUGCGGUGGAAAGAUUUAUCGGCCAGGGAUGGGCUCGCGGCCUAUCAGCUAGUUGGUGGGGUAACGGCCUACCAAGGCGACGACGGGUAGCCGGCCUGAGAGGGCGACCGGCCACACUGGACUGAGACACGGCCCAGACUCCUACGGGAGGCAGCAGUGGGGAAUAUUGCGCAAUGGGCGAAAGCCUGACGCAGCGACGCCGCGUGGGGGAUGAAGGCCUUCGGGUUGUAAACCCCUUUCGGCAGGGACGAAGCGAAAGUGACGGUACCUGCAGAAGAAGCGCCGGCUAACUACGUGCCAGCAGCCGCAGUAAAAC
rnacentral:rRNA from 1 species